rnacentral:misc_RNA from 1 species
GACCAAUCAGCUCAAGGAGUUUCUUCAAGAUAAAUCGUCAAAAGCUCUACGAUCGAAAUGGGGCCAAAAAGUUCGCGAUGCUAAAGGAUUUUAUCAAUUAGAAAUGUCUCCUCCAAAGUUUGAUGAAGUAAAGAAAUUGAAAGAAGACCUUGUCCUCGUCAAAGAUUUCAUUGGAAAUGGCUGUUUUAAAUACAUAACAGUCAAACAAGCCUGGCUUCUUUUCUUAGUUGGCUUGGAAAUCAUCUUGUGGUUUUUCUUAGGAGAAACCAUCGGGAAAAUGCACAUUGUUGGUUAUAAGGUGUAAAGAUUUAUUUUUGUCAAGAUUUAUGCUUAUUAUGUCUUCUAAAUAAACGUAUUUAUAGCAAAA